GACUUCUUGUUGUUGUU
rnacentral:sRNA from 1 species